rnacentral:tRNA from 1 species
GCGUCUAUGGUGGAAUUGGCAUACACAACGGAUUUAAGCUCCGUCGCUUCGGCUUGGGGGUUCGACUCCCUCUAGGCGCA